AAAUUGAAGAGUUUGAUCAUGGCUCAGAUUGAACGCUGGCGGCAGGCCUAACACAUGCAAGUCGAGCGGUAGCACAGAGAGCUUGCUCUCGGGUGACGAGCGGCGGACGGGUGAGUAAUGUCUGGGAAACUGCCUGAUGGAGGGGGAUAACUACUGGAAACGGUAGCUAAUACCGCAUAAUGUCGCAAGACCAAAGUGGGGGACCUUCGGGCCUCAUGCCAUCAGAUGUGCCCAGAUGGGAUUAGCUAGUAGGUGGGGUAACGGCUCACCUAGGCGACGAUCCCUAGCUGGUCUGAGAGGAUGACCAGCCACACUGGAACUGAGACACGGUCCAGACUCCUACGGGAGGCAGCAGUGGGGAAUAUUGCACAAUGGGCGCAAGCCUGAUGCAGCCAUGCCGCGUGUGUGAAGAAGGCCUUCGGGUUGUAAAGCACUUUCAGCGGGGAGGAAGGCGUUAAGGUUAAUAACCUUGGCGAUUGACGUUACCCGCAGAAGAAGCACCGGCUAACUCCGUGCCAGCAGCCGCGGUAAUACGGAGGGUGCAAGCGUUAAUCGGAAUUACUGGGCGUAAAGCGCACGCAGGCGGUCUGUCAAGUCGGAUGUGAAAUCCCCGGGCUCAACCUGGGAACUGCAUUCGAAACUGGCAGGCUAGAGUCUUGUAGAGGGGGUAGAAUUCCGGUGUAGCGGUGAAAUGCGUAGAGAUCUGGAGGAAUACCGGUGGCGAAGGCGGCCCCUGGACAAAGACUGACGCUCAGGUGCGAAAGCGUGGGGAGCAAACAGGAUUAGAUACCCUGGUAGUCCACGCCGUAAACGAUGUCGAUUUGGAGGUUGUGCCCUUGAGGCGUGGCUUCCGGAGCUAACGCGUUAAAUCGACCGCCUGGGAGUACGGCCGCAAGGUUAAAACUCAAAUGAAUUGACGGGGGCCCGCACAAGCGGUGGAGCAUGUGGUUUAAUUCGAUGCAACGCGAAGAACCUUACCUGGUCUUGACAUCCACAGAACUUUCCAGAGAUGGAUUGGUGCCUUCGGGAACUGUGAGACAGGUGCUGCAUGGCUGUCGUCAGCUCGUGUUGUGAAAUGUUGGGUUAAGUCCCGCAACGAGCGCAACCCUUAUCCUUUGUUGCCAGCGGUCCGGCCGGGAACUCAAAGGAGACUGCCAGUGAUAAACUGGAGGAAGGUGGGGAUGACGUCAAGUCAUCAUGGCCCUUACGACCAGGGCUACACACGUGCUACAAUGGCAUAUACAAAGAGAAGCGACCUCGCGAGAGCAAGCGGACCUCAUAAAGUAUGUCGUAGUCCGGAUUGGAGUCUGCAACUCGACUCCAUGAAGUCGGAAUCGCUAGUAAUCGUAGAUCAGAAUGCUACGGUGAAUACGUUCCCGGGCCUUGUACACACCGCCCGUCACACCAUGGGAGUGGGUUGCAAAAGAAGUAGGUAGCUUAACCUUCGGGAGGGCGCUUACCACUUUGUGAUUCAUGACUGGGGUGAAGUCGUAACAAGGUAACCGUAGGGGAACCUGCGGUUGGAUCACCUCCUUA
rnacentral:rRNA from 1 species